rnacentral:rRNA from 1 species
UACGUAGGUGGCAAGCGUUGUCCGGAUUUACUGGGCGUAAAGAGCGCGCAGGCGGUCGUUCAAGUCGCGUGUGAAAGCCCCCGGCUCAACUGGGGAGGGUCACGCGAUACUGAUCGACUCGAAGGCAGGAGAGGGUAGUGGAAUUCCCGGUGUAGUGGUGAAAUGCGUAGAUAUCGGGAGGAACACCAGUGGCGAAGGCGACUACCUGGCUCGAUUCUGACGCUGAGGUGCGAAAGCGUGGGGAGCAAACAGG